AUUAUCUGAGAAGUAUUUUUUGCUGGUUUCUUCUGGGUAUUCUACCACUCUAGUCUAGUCCCAAUUCCAGAAUUAAGGGGACACUGACCCCCAACAGGUAUUCCUCCCCUCAACCCCUUAGAAGUCCCCCUCCUGAAUACAUCUGUAUUACUUACAUCAGGAUUUUCGAUUACUUGCACUCCACUGCCUGAUAGAAGGUAGUCGAAAGCAGAUACUUCAAGCACUAUCAAUCACAAUUACCUUAGGUAUUUACCCUUCUACAAGCCUCAGAAUAUUUCCAGGCCCCCUUUACUAUCUCUGAUGGAAUCUACAGCUCAACAUUCUUUACAGCCACAGGCUUUCAUGGAUUUCAUGUUAUUAUUGGAUCAACAUUUCUCACUAUCUGCCUCCUCCACCAAUUAAAAUUCCACUCUACAUCCAAUCACCACUUUGCCUUUGAAGUUGCCGCCGGAUAUUGACACUUUGUAGAUGUAGUAUGACUAUUCUUAUAUGUCUCUAUCUAUUGAUGAGGGU
rnacentral:lncRNA from 1 species